ACAGCAGCAGCCACGGUAAUACGAAGGGUGCAAGCGUUACUCGGAAUUACUGGGCGUAAAGCGUGCGUAGGUGGUCGUUUAAGUCUGUUGUGAAAGCCCUGGGCUCAACCUGGGAACUGCAGUGGAAACUGGACGACUAGAGUGUGGUAGAGGGUAGCGGAAUUCCUGGUGUAGCAGUGAAAUGCGUAGAGAUCAGGAGGAACAUCCAUGGCGAAGGCAGCUACCUGGACCAACACUGACACUGAGGCACGAAAGCGUGGGGAGCAAACAGGAUUAGAUACCCGUGUAGUCCCUGUCUCUUAUAC
rnacentral:rRNA from 1 species